rnacentral:tRNA from 1 species
CGGCACGUAGCGCAGCCUGGUAGCGCACCGUCAUGGGGUGUCGGGGGUCGGAGGUUCAAAUCCUCUCGUGCCAACCA